AUACGGAGGGUGCAAGCGUUACUCGGAAUCACUGGGCGUAAAGCGCGCGCAGGCGGGCUGAUAAGUUGGAUGUGAAAGCCUACGGCUCAACCGUAGAACUGCAUCCAAAACUGUCAGUCUAGAGUCUGGGAGGGGAAGAUGGAAUUAGUUGUGUAGGGGUAAAAUCCGUAGAGAUAACUAGGAAUACCAAAAGCGAAGGCGAUCUACUGGAACAGUACUGACGCUGAGGCGCGAAGGCGUGGGGAGCAAACAGGAUUAGAUACCCCAGUAGUCC
rnacentral:rRNA from 1 species